UACGGGGGGGGUAAGCGUUGUUCGGAAUUACUGGGCGUAAAGGGCUCGUAGGCAGCCAACUAAGUCGGACGUGAAAUCCCUCAGCUUAACUGGGGAACUGCGUCCGAUACUGGAUGGCUUGGAUUUGGGAGAGGGAUGCGGAAUUCCAGGUGUAGCGGUGAAAUGCGUAGAUAUCUGGAGGAACACCGGUGGCGAAGGCGGCAUCCUGGACCAAUAUUGACGCUGAGGAGCGAAAGCCAGGGGAGCAAACGGG
rnacentral:rRNA from 1 species